GGAGUGAUGGCCGAGUUGGUCGAAGGCGCUCGCCUGCUAAGCGAGUAUACCCUCAUAAGGGGUAUCGAGGGUUCGAAUCCCUCUCACUCCG
rnacentral:tRNA from 1 species